rnacentral:rRNA from 1 species
UACGUAGGUCCCGAGCGUUGUCCGGAUUUAUUGGGCGUAAAGCGAGCGCAGGUGGUUUAUUAAGUCAGCGGUAAAAUUGCGGGGCUCAACCUCGUCGAGCCGUUGAAACUGGGUGUCUUGAGUGGGCGAGAAGUACGCGGAAUGCGUAGUGUAGCGGUGAAAUGCAUAGAUAUCACGCAGAACUCCGAUUGCGAAGGCAGCGUACCGGCGCCCAACUGACGCUGAAGCACGAAGGCGUGGGUAUCGAACAGG